AUGGUGAAGAUCAGUGAAUGGAUUUGGCUGUAUUGAACAUCUGGUUACAGGGUGGCCAGCUCAUCUGGCAAAGUAGAGAUUGUUGCCAUUUAUGACUCCUUUAUUGACCUCAACUACAUGGUCUACUUGGUCCAAUAGGACUCCAUCCAUGACAAGUUCAACAGCACUGUCAAGGCUGAGAAUGGGAAGCUUGUCAUCAACAGGAAGGCCAUCACCAUCUUCCAGGAGUAAGAUCCCACUAGCAUCAAAUGGGGUGAUGCUGGUGCUGAGUAUGUUAUAGCGUCUACUGGCAUCUUCCCCACAAUGGUGAAGGCCAGGGCUCACUUGAAGAGUGGGAACAAAAGGGUCAUUAACCACCCCCCUUUCUGCCAAUGCAUCCAUGUUUGUGAUGGGCGUGAACCACGAGAAGUAUGACAACUGCUCAAGAUUGUCACCAAUGCUCCUGUACCACCAACUGCUUAUACCCCAGCCAAGGUCAUCCAUGACAAGUUUGGUGUUAUAGAGGGGCUCAUGACCACAGUCCAUGCCAUCAUUGCCACUCAGAAAACUGGAUGACCAUGGGGCUGCCCAGAGCAUCAUCCCUGCAUCUACCGCUGAUGCCAAGGCUGGGGGCAAGGUCAUCCCAGAGCUGAACAGGAAGCUCACUGGCACGGCCUUGUACGUUCCUACCCGAAUGUGUCCACUGUGGACCUGACGUGCCACCUGAAGAAAGCUGCCAGCGAUGACGACAUCCAUGUGGUGUCCCAACUCAGGCAUCCAAGGAACAACUGAAAGGCAUCCUGAGCUACACUGAGGACCAGGUUGUCUCCUGCCUGACGUCAACAGUGAAUCCCACUCUUCCACCUUUGAUGCUGGGGUUGGCAUUUCUCUCAAUGACAACUUUGUAAAGCUCAUUUCCUGGUAUGACAAUGAAUACAGCAACAGGGUGGUGGACCUCACAGCCUACAUAGCCUUCAAGGAAUAA
rnacentral:lncRNA from 1 species